rnacentral:rRNA from 1 species
UACGGGGGGGGCAAGCGUUGUUCGGAAUUACUGGGCGUAAAGGGCUCGUAGGCGGCCAACUAAGUCAGACGUGAAAUCCCUCGGCUUAACCGGGGAACUGCGUCUGAUACUGAAAGUCUUGAGUAUGGGAGAGGUGAGUGGAACUGCGAGUGUAGAGGUGAAAUUCGUAGAUAUUCGCAAGAACACCAGUGGCGAAGGCGGACUCACUGGCCCAUAACUGACGCUGAGGCACGAAAGCGUGGGGAGCAAACAGGG